rnacentral:rRNA from 1 species
AACCUACGGGGCGCAGCAGUGAGGAAUAUUGGUCAAUGGGCGAGAGCCUGAACCAGCCAAGUCGCGUGAGGGAGGACGGCCCUACGGGUUGUAAACCUCUUUUGCCGGGGGACAAACGGCGGCACGCGUGCCGUCCUGAGGGUACCCGGAGAAAAAGCAUCGGCUAACUCCGUGCCAGCAGCCGCGGUAAUACGGAGGAUGCGAGCGUUAUCCGGAUUUAUUGGGUUUAAAGGGUGCGUAGGCGGGCUGUUAAGUCAGCGGUAAAAGCCCGGGGCUCAACCCCGGCGAGCCGGUGAAACUGGCUG